UUUACUGGGUUUAAAGGAUGCGUAGGCGGACACUUAAGCCAGUGGUGAAAUCCCAUAGCUCAACUAUGGAACUGCCAUUGGAACUGUGUGUCUUGAAUUCGGUUGAGGUAGAUGGAAUAUAACAUGUAGCGGUGAAAUGCUUAGAUAUGUUAUAGAACACCGAUUGCGAAGGCAGUCUACUAAGCCGACAUUGACGCUGAGGCAUGAAAGCGUGGGGAGCGAACAGGAUUAGAUACCCUGGUAGUCCACGCCCUAAACGUUGAUUACUCGCUGUUAGCGAUACACUGUUAGCGGCUAAGCGAAAGCGUUAAGUAAUCCACCUGGGAAGUACGACCGCAAGGUUGAAACUCAAAGGAAUUGACGGGGGCCCGCACAAGCGGAGGAGCAUGUGGUUUAAUUCGAUGAUACGCGAGGAACCUUACCUGGGCUUAAAUGUUAGAUGCCAUUCUGCGAAAGCGGAAGUUUCUUCGGAACAUCUAGCAAGGUGCUGCAUGGCU
rnacentral:rRNA from 1 species